rnacentral:rRNA from 1 species
GAUGAACGCUGGCGGCGUGCCUAAUACAUGCAAGUCGAGCGAACGGACGAGAAGCUUGCUUCUCUGAUGUUAGCGGCGGACGGGUGAGUAACACGUGGAUAACCUACCUAUAAGACUGGGAUAACUUCGGGAAACCGGAGCUAAUACCGGAUAAUAUUUUGAACCGCAUGGUUCAAAAGUGAAAGACGGUCUUGCUGUCACUUAUAGAUGGAUCCGCGCUGCAUUAGCUAGUUGGUAAGGUAACGGCUUACCAAGGCAACGAUGCAUAGCCGACCUGAGAGGGGGAUCGGCCACACUGGAACUGAGACACGGUCCAGACUCCUACGGGAGGCAGAAGUAGGGAAUCUUCCGCAAUGGGGGAAAGCCUGACGGAGCAACGCCGGGUGAGUGAUGAAGGUCUUGGGAUCGUAAAACUCUGUUAUUAGGGAAGAACAUAUGUGUAAGUAACUGUGCACAUUUUGACGGUACCUAAUCAGAAAGCCACGGCUAACUACGU